rnacentral:lncRNA from 1 species
UUGUGUUUCCUCCCAACAGGCAGCCAGGGUUUUAAGGAAAAGUGCCAGGUUGUCCCAGACUUUACAGGAUUACACAGGAUCCCAGGAUUACAUCUGAGAUCGUCAGAUAAAUGUACACUGGUAAAUAUCUUGAGCAGCCCUGCCUGCAUCAAAGAUUUGUUUGGCUGUGCUCAGCUGUGGACUGAAAGGAGACAGCACAUCGGUUCCCAGUAAAGCAGAGUGGAUCAGCUUCUGCCACUGAGAUUCCUAUUCCACAUCACUGUGUUUACAGUCAACAGUGAGGAAAGGGAUACUUCAAAUUCCCAAAGGUCACAAAAUACUGGGAAAUCAACUCUGGAUCAUGUCUCUCUUAGCUUAGUUUUUGCAGAGGAGCAUAAACAGCUGAAAUGUGCCUCCCUCCACAUUCAGCAUCUUUGCGUGAGUCCUUGAGGUGGAGGUCUCCAAGCCUGGAUGUGUAAUAGUGCAGUGCCCCCUCAUGGGAAACUGUUCCAGGUGCUGUUUCCUGCAUCCAGGUGGGAGGACAUGAACACAAACACCCUCCUGUUUGUUGUAC